rnacentral:rRNA from 1 species
AUUGAACGCUGGCGGCAGGCCUAACACAUGCAAGUCGAGCGGGAACUUCGGUUCUAGCGGCGGACGGGUGAGUAAUGCGUAGGAAGCUACCCGACAGAGGGGGAUACCAGUUGGAAACGACUGUUAAUACCGCAUAAUGUCUACGGACCAAAGUGUGGGACCUUCGGGCCACACGCUGUCGGAUGCGCCUACGUGGGAUUAGCUAGUUGGUGAGGUAAUGGCUCACCAAGGCGACGAUCCCUAGCGGGUUUGAGAGGAUGAUCAGCCACACUGGAACUGAGACACGGUCCAGACUCCUACGGGAGGCAGCAGUGGGGAAUAUUGGACAAGGGGCGCAAGCCUGAUCCAGCCAUGCCGCGUGUGUGAAGAAGGCCUUCGGGUUGUAAAGCACUUUCAGUAGGGAGGAAGGGGUUGUAGUUAAUAGCUGCAACUUUUGACGUUACCUACAGAAGAAGCACCGGCUAACUCUGUGCCAGCAGCCGCCGUAACAC